GACGAACGCUGGCGGCGUGCUUAACACAUGCAAGUCGAACGGAAAGGCCUGCUUUCCCUUGUGGAUUGCGGGUACUCGAGUGGCGAACGGGUGAGUAACACGUGAGUGAUCUGCCCCCAACUUGGGUAUAAGCCUGGGAAACUGGGUCUAAUUCCCGAUAGGACUGCAGGGUGGUGCCUGUGGUGGAAAACGAUUUUCUAGUGGUUGGGGAUGAGCUCGCGGCCUAUCAGCUUGUUGGUGGGGUAAUGGCCUACCAAGGCGGCGACGGGUAGCCGGCCUGAGAGGGUGGACGGUCACAUUGGGACUGAGAUACGGCCCAGACUCCUACGGGAGGCAGCAGUGGGGAAUAUUGCACAAUGGGCGGAAGCCUGACGCAGCGACGCCGCGUGGGGGACGACGGCCUUCGGGUUGUAAACUCCUUUCGACCGCGAGGAAGCCACCUGGUUGGAAGGGUGGUGACGGUAGUGGUAGAAGAAGCACCGGCUAACUACGUG
rnacentral:rRNA from 1 species